GUUUCUUUACUUUUAUUACCAUCGAUAAAAAUGAUAUGAGUCAAUACAAAGUUGUGUUUGAUAUGAUAUAACAAUUACAUGGUUAUUUUAAUACAACAAACAGUAAAAGGAUUUGCAGUAGUUAUUUGACUAAAUUCUACACUUAACAUGCAUUAAAAGUACUAGUUAUAACUCAAAAUUACCUGAAAACCAAAGUGAUAAUGUGUUAUUUUUAAGGAUGAACUGUAUACAUAGAAUGUCCAUCCAAAUUGACUUCAUAUACACACUUUCAGCAGCCCGAGUUUAUUGUAUGAUAUUGCUUUAUAAAACAUAUGAUAAAACAAUUAAUUCAAGAACUAAAAAAAGUCAGGAAAAAUAAAACACUGUUCGACUUUAAAUAUGAUUACCAUCGACUGUUUAAAAAACCUUUUGAAUUAAAAAAAAAUGAAGUUUAAAAGUUUGGAGACCUCAAUUAUGUCAAUUGAUUAGCAUGCAAAAAACACUGAAAAUCAAUGAAAAAGAUGAAAGACCUGUUCAAAAUAACAAUGAGCCAAAUCUGAACUCAUACAAUGUAUGAAGUUUCCAAAUGAUUGUAUGGACUUCACAAUAUCAAUUUUGGAGAAAAGUUUUACCAAUCAGAUAAAAGUCCAAUUGGGGCUAUAUUUCCUUAUCUGCUUUAUCUGAAAACUUUGCUUCCUGAUAUUUCUUUUUGUAGGUUAAGGUAGUACAACAAUCUUUUGUUAUCUAUAGUUAAUUGUCCUCCUUUAUUUUUUUUAUACUUUACUACUAAAGGUAACAAUGGAUUCUGGACCAAUACUGUGAGGCAAAUUAUAAUUCUUUGUGUAUACUAUUUUUACAAUGUAUUUUGGUCCCAUCUAAAAUAUUAGAAAAAAAUUAGCAAAUGCUAACUGUUACACCAUAAAUUUAUUUCUCUUUCACAAAAAAUCACAAUUUAUAUAUGUGUAAUAAAGGAUAAGAACUGAGAAGAAUAUAAACAUGUAAAUGAUAACAUCACAACAGUACAUAUUAAGAUGAUUCUAUAAGUAUGCCAAUAAUGGCAGUGAUACCAAUAAUAUGGCACAAAGUCUAGUAUUGCACGUUCAUUUAUGUUUUUUAAUAUUAUAUGAGUAUAUACUAACCAGGCCUAUAACCUGCCUAAACAAACUCAUUUGAUUUAGAUACAAGUAUAUGCAUUAUAACAUACAUAACUUAAAAUUAUUAUCAAGCAUCCUUUCAAUUUAACUCAGCUGAACAUAAAAGGGGUAAUGAACAACCAAAUAAAAAUGCUUGAUAGAAUUUCUAUGGUCUGCAUGCCAUAGUACUUGAAAAUAGUGAGGUUUAUCGAAAUUAUAAUUCAACUAACUGUUUGCUGUCAAUGUUACAUACACAAGGCUAUAAGUAAGUAGUUGUAAUUAUUAUCUUUAAUGAUGACUUGUCUUUUAUAUCUCUUCUUAAUUGAACAAUUAACUUUUCUUAUUCCGAAUACAAUAAAAAUAGAUAUCAUACAUUAUAAGUAGCUACAAUAAAUGCACUUUUAAAUUCCCUGAGAACAUUAAAUACUGUAAACAGAAAGAGAAUACUAACAGUGUUUUAACUUAAACAAGUACUAAGAAAGCAAUUAAGUAAUUGGCAAUUAUAAAUCUCUUUUGAUUCAGAUAUAUGUGACAGAACAUGCAUUACAAAAAAUAAAAAAAUUACAAGCAUCAUUUUUAAGGUGCUUUUCUGAAAUUGGUUUUUGAUAACAGCCAAGAAUGACAGUUCAUUAUUGCAAAUGUUGUUUUUAUUAAUGAGGACAUAUACCGUAAGUUCCAUUUAAUUAAGUCUUUAUAGAGAUGUAAGUAAAACCCUAACACCUCUAUCCAUUUUAAAUUUAUCUGGUCUACCUUAACAGAAACUCACAGUUUAAUUGCAACCAAUUUGAUACUUUAAAAAUCACAGUAUCAUAGAAAAUUUAACUAUUUA
rnacentral:lncRNA from 1 species